rnacentral:rRNA from 1 species
UACCGCCGCGGGAUGGCGGCAGAGGAGGAGGAGGCGGCGGAGAGGUAGAGGUAGAGGGUUAGGGUGGAGCGGGGCGUGGGGGUCGGGCGGGGCGACGAGAGAGGGCGGGCGGUGAAGCGGAAGAGGAGGCGCCUCCUCCGGCGCCGGCUCGCGGCGGCGGCGUUCGCGGCGGAGGCGUAGCUCGGCGGCGACGUGCGGGAGGCGGCGCUGGGGAGGUUGGGCGGCGGGGGCGCGCUGGGGUUGCGCGGGGCGGAGGGGCUGUGGUGGAGGAGGGACCAGNNNNNNNNNGAGUCGGAGGUGUUGGCGCACGUCCGGGAGUAGGCGAGGCCGCUGGAGCUGCCGCGGCGGCGGCGGAGGGCGCGCCGGCAGAGGAGCGCGCAGGCGGGGUGGCAGAAGUGGACGUUGCGCCAGCGGCGGAGGUACCAGGCGCGGCCGGCCGGGCUGCUGCGGCAGCGGGAGAAGCGGAAGAAGAAGGCGGCGAGGUUGUAGCAGGGGUUGCAGCAGAGGAUGUUGUGGGAGUAGGAGCGGGUGACGCUGCGGCGGGCGCAGCUGCUGCGCGAGGUCCGUAUGGUCCUCUACGACCUGCCGGAGUGGAGGAAGAGGGGGAGGUGCCAGAGGAUGGCGGUGGAGUGGUUCCCGGAGCAGCGGCGGCCGGCGCAGGUCCUGCGGGAGCUGGAGGAGGCACUGUACGAGUUGGCGCCGGUCCCGCGGCUGAGGUAGCAGAUGUUCUUGGAGUAGCUGCCGAUGCAACGGGAGCUGCUGACCCUGUUCCGGAAGGUCGAGAAGCUGCUCGAGGCCCUCUUCCGGUGGCAGAUACUGCCGCAGCACGUGUGGUCGAAGUACCUCCCGAUGACCUUCUUUCCGUACCUGUUCCUCCGGUACCUGUCGAUGUCGAGGGAAGACCUGUUCUUCAAGUUCUACUGCGGCCGGUGGACGUUGCACGACGAGGUCUGUGAGAAGUCGGUGCUGUUCGUGUUCCUCCGUGUGCUGGACACCCUCUGGUACCAGCUGUUGGUGUUGGGCGGGUCGAAGUAGCCGCAGUUGUCGCUCAGGAUGUGACAGUACCAGUUGGUCACGAAGUUCCUCCCGUCCAAGGUCCUGCGGUAGCUCCACAAGGUGUCCGUCGGCUCCUUCUCACACGUCUACCUGCAGCGGACGAAGUUGUUGUAGUAGCCCUUCGAGACGCUCUUGCCCUACGAUCGUCUCCGCCUCGUCGAGAAGCUCCUCUACCUCUCGUUCAGUCACGAAGGUCUACACAUGUGGAUGUGAAUGGACCAGCUGAGCACGAAGUUCCUACCGGCACACCUACUGUGGUACGUCAUAAAGGUGUUUUACCGCCUGCCCUCCCUCGUGCCCGGUUUCAAGUUAUAGCGAAAGAAGUUAGCCUACAAAGUUCCCGAAUGUCUUCGACCGGCCUAACUACUACGGAACUUCCACAUACCUUCCUACGGACUGUUCCUCUAAUUCGGCAGGUGCCGGUGGAAACUCUAGGACCAAUUCCGCAGGACGUUCCUUCCCCUUAACCUAUCUCGUGCUCUGGACCACUCCCUGUACCGGUCUCCGCCACAACAGCGAGGAGGACUCAAGGCACUCACAUAACAACUCUAAAAGUUCUGACGACUAGCGGUCCUUCUCUAGCUCGUUCGAAAACUACUUUUCGGUCACGGUGGUGGAGGAAGCGGUUCCGGUCUCAUAGCGGGAGCCUCAGAUGGACCUAAAGUCGUUCGUCAGCCACGAAGAGUUCACGUUGUUGGAUUUAAAUCGAGCCUAAGUGGCCACGUCAGACCUAAACCAUGGGGAGUUGGCGUUGUUAGUUGCGUAUAGAGAGUAGUCUGAGUUGUACGGCCCAAACCGUGUGGAGCAGGUACCGUCUGUCCCAAACCGAGAGUCGUUCGCGUCGUCGGGCCCAUACCGAGAGUCGUUCGCGUUGUCGGUCCUAUACCGAGAGUCGUUCGCGUUGUUUGUCCCAUACCGAGAGUCGUUUGCGUCGUCGGUCCAAUACCGAGAGUCGUUCCCGUCGUCGGUCCCAUACCGAGCGUGGUUCGCGUUGUCUGACCUAUACCGGGCGUAGUUCGCGUUGUCGGACCCAUAUCGAUGGUUCGGGUUGUCGGUUCCAUACCGCGAGUGGUUCGCCUUGUCGGUCCUAUACCACGAAUAGUUCGCGUUGUCGGACCCAUGCCGCGAGUAGUUCGUGCUGUCGGACCCAUACCACGUGGAGUCUGUAGUGUCGGUGGAAAACCAGAAGGACUUCGUGGUGUUAGACCGAAAGCGUCACGAGCCUGAGAUGGUUCGAUACCGGUAUAUCCUUUAGUCGUACUAGUCAAACCUAGAGGAGGAGUCCCGUCUGUUUUCCAACUGUGAGUCGGUCGCGUCCUGAGACCACGAGGACUUCGUGGUGUUAGACCAAGCCCGUAACGAGUCUCGAACGGUUUGUCACCGGUGUAACCUUUAGUUGUACUAGUCAAACCUAGCCCACCUUAUUUUAAAUCGUGGGUCAGUGGAGUCCUCCUGAAACCAUGAGUCCGUAGUCUACUUCACCGACAGUUCAUGCGACUCGCUAUGAUU